AUUGAACGCUGGCGGCAUGCUUUACACAUGCAAGUCGAACGGUAACAGGCCUUCGGGCGCUGACGAGUGGCGAACGGGUGAGUAAUGCAUCGGAACGUGCCCAGUCGUGGGGGAUAACUAUCCGAAAGGAUAGCUAAUUCCGCAUACGAUCUGCGGAUGAAAGCGGGGGACCUUCGGGCCUCGCGCGAUUGGAGCGGCCGAUGUCAGAUUAGGUAGUUGGUGGGGUAAAGGCUCACCAAGCCAACGAUCUGUAGCUGGUCUGAGAGGACGACCAGCCACACUGGGACUGAGACACGGCCGAGACUCCUACGGGAGGCAGCAGUGGGGAAUUUUGGACAAUGGGCGCAAGCCUGAUCCAGCAAUGCCGCGUGCAGGAUGAAGGCCUUCGGGUUGUAAACUGCUUUUGUACGGAACGAAAAGACUCUGGUUAAUACCUGGGGUCCAUGACGGUACCGUAAGAAUAAGCACCGGCUAACUACGUGCCAGCCGCCGCCGUAAAAC
rnacentral:rRNA from 1 species